rnacentral:rRNA from 1 species
UGGGGAAUUUUGGACAAUGGGCGAAAGCCUGAUCCAGCCAUGCCGCGUGAGUGAAGAAGGCCUUCGGGUUGUAAAGCUCUUUCGGCCGGAACGAAAUCAACCGGGCUAAUACCCCGGUUGGAUGACGGUACCGGAAGAAGAAGCACCGGCUAACUACGUGCCAGCAGCCGCGGUAAUACGUAGGGUGCAGGCGUUAAUCGGAAUUACUGGGCGUAAAGCGUGCGCAGGCGGCUUCCUAAGUCAGAUGUGAAAUCCCCGGGCUUAACCUGGGAACUGCGUUUGAAACUGGGAGGCUAGAGUGCGGCAGAGGGGGGUGGAAUUCCACGUGUAGCAGUGAAAUGCGUAGAUAUGUGGAGGAACACCGAUGGCGAAGGCAGCCCCCUGGGCCAGCACUGACGCUCAUGCACGAAAGCGUGGGGAGCAAACAGG